AAUAUUGGUCAAUGGACGCAAGUCUGAACCAGCCAUGUCGCGUGCAGGAUGACGGCCCUAUGGGUUGUAAACUGCUUUUUUACAGGAAUAAUUGUCGCUACGUGUAGUGAUUUGAAUGUACUGUAUGAAUAAGGAUCGGCUAACUCCGUGCCAGCAGCCGCGGUAAUACGGAGGAUUCGAGCGUUAUCCGGAUUUAUUGGGUUUAAAGGGUCCGUAGGCGGUUCUUUAAGUCAGUGGUGAAAUCCCAGAGCUCAACUCUGGAACUGCCAUUGAAACUGAAGGACUUGAAUAUGGUUGAGGUAGGCGGAAUACGUUAUGUAGCGGUGAAAUGCAUAGAUAUAACGUAGAACACCAAUUGCGAAGGCAGCUUACUAAGCCAUUAUUGACGCUGAUGGACGAAAGCGUGGGGAGCGAACAGGAUUAGAUACCCUGGUAGUCCACGCCGUA
rnacentral:rRNA from 1 species